rnacentral:lncRNA from 1 species
GUUUGGCCUUAGUUUCAUUUUUAAUUUGAAGAAAAGUUUGAAAUUGCUUUAUCUUGCACUUAACAUUUGCACCAAAUUGCCAAAAGAAGGAGAAAUGCUCCGUUUGCUUUUUAAAUGUUAAUGAUGAUGUUAAUAAAGCCUUUCCUGACACAUUUGAGGAGCUCCUCCGUCUCCAGGGGCUUCUUACCAGAGUUAUGCAGUGAUGGGUUUAGUUCUGAAUGGAUGAAGAGUUCCUGAGAGCUAGCGUUUGUAAUUAGAACCGUUACUUGGUAUCUGUGCCUUAUUUGACCUUUGGUUCCACAUGCCUUGGAUGUGCAUGCACCGUGACGGUUUCAUAGGUACGAACGCACACUCAGGCCCAGUCACUUCGGUUGGUAGUACAGAUUGUGAGGAAAAAGAUGGAGGCAUCCUUAAGGAGGAAAAAUGUUUGCCUUUAGUUCCUGCAUUAUCCUGUACAGAGGGGCUCCUGAGUUUUGGAAGCCUGUUCCCAGUACAGGAGAACAACUCCCCUGUUUGCAGCAGGAGACUUCAGUGCACGGUGACAACGCUGGAGUUCAAGAGGAAGCCAGCAAUGCUGCACCAUUGGCUUCAGACACCAUUGUUGUUGUUUGCCAGUUUUAAACUUAACUAGUUGCAGACGAAGACCACCUUGAAAUGCAGGCUUGUUGGGCUUGUUUUGAAUUUUAACCUCGGAUGGAAGAGCCCUAGUGCUGUCUGUCUCCAUGCGGGAUGAUGAUUGCUAGGCAACAGGUGAUUAUCAACAAAGGAUGCCACGGUUAUACUCUGCAAGGUGGUGUUCCAGUGGCAAACAGCUGUAUAAACUCUUGUAAACAGGAACUACUGACAAAAACCUAUAGUCGACUUUGGGAUCUGACUUUAUUAUUCAGCAACUCAAAGAUGAGUUCUAAUUGGCAGACUUCUGGCACUGGCACUUGUCCUCCUGUUUCUAUAGAAACUGGGUUGGAAGUCAGAGCUGCACAAAGGGAAAGGCCUUCCAAGGCUUCCAUCUUUGUGCCAGUGUGUGGCUCUGGGUGCCAUCUAACCGCAAAAGCAGCAGUUGGGUUUGGAUGAGCUGUGUGACAUUUGGCCUACACGAAGGAGAGAAAUAUUGUUCAUGUAAUGUGUUACCUUUUUUUGUCUGUGUGAUCUACAAGAGCAUGGCUGAAAUGUUACCAUUUUUAACUAGUGUUUUGACUGAAGAUUAUUAUGAAAAGUUUUACUUUUGUUAGAUUCCUAAUUAAAAAUGCCUAUACUCUUUUAUAGGAGUUUCAACUUUUGCAAUUUGGUAAUAACAGAUUUAGGUAAGUAAAAAAUGAGAAUCUCAUACAGUUCUGAAGAUCUAAGUUUGGUUGAGAAUUUAAUGUUUCAUCACCAGUAAAUUCAAUUAAAGACUUUUGAUUCAAUUAAAGACUCAGUUCUGCCUACACCUGCAAGAACUGAGUUGAUCUGUACAUCAACAUUUCUGAUGUUUCUUUGGUAGUUGCUGCUGGAGUCAGAAGUUAGGAACAAAUCUAAUGGCCUUUGUAAUGUCCUCUGUCAUUUCACGGAGGAAUGACUUAGAGGAACAAAGCUUUCCUGUGAUUUCUUUCUUCAACAGAUGGCUAAUGGCACAGCAUUGCAGUUAGAAUCUUGUUUAAGAUACUAGGAGCACGUCCUGGACUAAAAAUUUCUACAUAAGCUUUAGCAACAACCUUAUAGCUUCCUUUGACUUUUUUGUAGAGCUUACAGAAUGUAUGGCUGCCUAAGUAAUAGUCUCUGAAUUAAUGGGUAAAAAAUAUAUUAUGAGUUUUUUAUCCUCACGUAUGGUGCUAGGCUAUACUGGAUUUGGGCUAACAAAAGCUUGUUAACUUUUUUUUGUCUCAUUGACAGAAGUAUUUUAUAUCUCAUAUUUUACAUUACAUAGGUGUGUGUGUGUGUAUGAAAUAAAAGUUUGAAAAUAAAGUGAUAUACUCUUUUUUAAUCU